rnacentral:rRNA from 1 species
GUGCCAGCCGCCGCGGUAAUACGUAGGGUGCGAGCGUUGUCCGGAAUUACUGGGCGUAAAGAGCUCGUAGGUGGUUUGUCGCGUUGUUCGUGAAAACUCACAGCUUAACUGUGGGCGUGCGGGCGAUACGGGCAGACUAGAGUACUGCAGGGGAGACUGGAAUUCCUGGUGUAGCGGUGGAAUGCGCAGAUAUCAGGAGGAACACCGGUGGCGAAGGCGGGUCUCUGGGCAGUAACUGACGCUGAGGAGCGAAAGCGUGGGGAGCGAACAGGAUUAGAUACCCUGGUAGUCCACGCCGUAAACGGUGGGUACUAGGUGUGGGUUCCUUCCUUGGGAUCCGUGCCGUAGCUAACGCAUUAAGUACCCCGCCUGGGGAGUACGGCCGCAAGGCUAAAACUCAAAGGAAUUGACGGGGGCCCGCACAAGCGGCGGAGCAUGUGGAUUAAUUCGAUGCAACGCGAAGAACCUUACCUGGGUUGACAUGCACAGACGC